ACGGAAGGCAGCAGUGAGGAAUAUUGGUCAAUGGGCGGAAGCCUGAACCAGCCAAGUCGCGUGAAGGAUGAAGGUAUUAUGUAUUGUAAACUUCUUUAGCAGCAGAGUAAUAAGGGGGUCGUGACCCCCGAUACAAGUAUGCUGAAAAUAAGGAUCGGCUAACUCCGUGCCAGCAGCCGCGGUAAUACGGAGGAUCCGAGCGUUAUCCGGAUUUAUUGGGUUUAAAGGGUGCGCAGGCGGUUUUUUAAGUCAGUGGUUAAAUCGUGAGGCUCAACCUCAUCACGCCAUUGAUACUGGAAGACUUGAUUGCGGUUGAGGUUGGCGGAAUUCGUCGUGUAGCGGUGAAAUGCAUAGAUAUGACGAAGAACACCGAUUGCGUAGGCAGCUGACCAAGCCGUAAAUGACGCUCAUGCACGAAAGUGCGGGGAUCGAACAGGAUUAGAUACCCUGGUA
rnacentral:rRNA from 1 species